AGGUUGCAGUCUUGUAAUUGACUGCUCCAUAGGCUUAAAUGCAAAACAGCUGAUCUUUGAAAAUAAAAAAAUAAAAAAUGCUACAUAAAAAAAAUAUUUCAUGUUCAUAUCAUGUAUGUACUGAUGUGAAAUUGUGUUUUAAUCGAAAAAAAAGUGGGUCAUGCCACGAAGAAUAAAAAGUUACGUAACCCUGAAGUCAAAACAUUUUUUUUUCUACUUUCUGUUUGCUGUUUUUACUAGGUCGCACCACUUCCAGUAAACAUGAUAUCCUUCCACCUUCCUGGAUUGAUAUCCC
rnacentral:lncRNA from 1 species